CCCUUAGAUGUUCUGGGCCGCACGCGUGCUACACUGAGUGGAUCAGCGGGUCAGGUUGCGCGAAAGUGUUUCCUAAUCUUUAAAUCCGCUCGUGAUGGGGAUUGACGGUUGCAAUUUUCCGUCAUGAACGAGGAAUACCUUGUAAGCGCGGGUCAUCAUCCCACGCUGAAUACGUCCCUGCCCUUUGUACACACCGCCCGUCGCUCCUACCGAUUGAGUGGUCCGGUGAGGCUUUGGGAUCUGAGCGGAAAGAGCGUUUCGCUGUUUCUGCCCGGAAAACUCAGUCGAACCUUAUCAUUUAGAGGAAGGAGAAGUCGUAACA
rnacentral:rRNA from 1 species